rnacentral:rRNA from 1 species
AACGAACGCUGGCGGCAUGCCUAACACAUGCAAGUCGAACGAGACCUUCGGGUCUAGUGGCGCACGGGGGCGUAACGCGUGGGAACCUGCCCUUAGGUUCGGAAUAACUCCCCGAAAGGGGUGCUAAUACCGGAUAAUGUCUUCGGACCAAAGAUAUAUCGUCUUUGGAUGGGCCCGCGUUGGAUUAGCUAGUUGGUAGGGUAAAAGCCCACCAAGGCGACGAUCCAUAGCUGGUCUGAGAGGAUGAUCAGCCACACUGGGACGGAGGGACGGCCCACACCCCUGCGGGAGGCACCAGGCCCGAAUCCUGCGCAAUGGGCGCAAGCGUGAUUCUGCCAUACCGGGUGAGUGAAGAAGGCCUUCGUGCCGUAUAGCUCUUUUGUUGGUAAAGAAUGUAAGCCUUUUUAUCCCCGGCUGUUCUGACGGUACCCGGAGAAUAAGCCCCGGCUAACUUCGUG